GACGAACGCUGUCGGCGUGCUUAACACAUGCAAGUCGAACGGAAAGGCCCUGCUUUUGUGGGGUGCUCGAGUGGCGAACGGGUGAGUAACACGUGAGUAACCUGCCCUUGACUUUGGGAUAACUUCAGGAAACUGGGGCUAAUACCGGAUAGGAGCUCCUGCUGCAUGGUGGGGGUUGGAAAGUUUCGGCGGUUGGGGAUGGACUCGCGGCUUAUCAGCUUGUUGGUGGGGUAGUGGCUUACCAAGGCUUUGACGGGUAGCCGGCCUGAGAGGGUGACCGGCCACAUUGGGACUGAGAUACGGCCCAGACUCCUACGGGAGGCAGCAGUGGGGAAUAUUGCACAAUGGGCGGAAGCCUGAUGCAGCAACGCCGCGUGCGGGAUGACGGCCUUCGGGUUGUAAACCGCUUUCGCCUGUGACGAAGCGUGAGUGACGGUAAUGGGUAAAGAAGCACCGGCUAACUACGUGCCAGCAGCCGCGGUGAUACGUAGGGUGCGAGCGUUGUCCGGAUUUAUUGGGCGUAAAGGGCUCGUAGGUGGUUGAUCGCGUCGGAAGUGUAAUCUUGGGGCUUAACCCUGAGCGUGCUUUCGAUACGGGUUGACUUGAGGAAGGUAGGGGAGAAUGGAAUUCCUGGUGGAGCGGUGGAAUGCGCAGAUAUCAGGAGGAACACCAGUGGCGAAGGCGGUUCUCUGGGCCUUUCCUGACGCUGAGGAGCGAAAGCGUGGGGAGCGAACAGGCUUAGAUACCCUGGUAGUCCACGCUGUAAACGGUGGGUACUAGGUGUGGGGUCCAUUCCACGGGUUCCGUGCCGUAGCUAACGCUUUAAGUACCCCGCCUGGGGAGUACGGCCGCAAGGCUAAAACUCAAAGGAAUUGACGGGGCCCCGCACAAGCGGCGGAGCAUGCGGAUUAAUUCGAUGCAACGCGUAGAACCUUACCUGGGUUUGACAUGGAUCGGGAGUGCUCAGAGAUGGGUGUGCCUCUUUUGGGGUCGGUUCACAGGUGGUGCAUGGCUGUCGUCAGCUCGUGUCGUGAGAUGUUGGGUUAAGUCCCGCAACGAGCGCAACCCUUGUUCACUGUUGCCAGCACGUUAUGGUGGGGACUCAGUGGAGACCGCCGGGGUCAACUCGGAGGAAGGUGGGGAUGACGUCAAGUCAUCAUGCCCCUUAUGUCCAGGGCUUCACGCAUGCUACAAUGGCUGGUACAGAGAGUGGCGAGCCUGUGAGGGUGAACGAAUCUCGGAAAGCCGGUCUCAGUUCGGAUUGGGGUCUGCAACUCGACCUCAUGAAGUCGGAGUCGCUAGUAAUCGCAGAUCAGCAACGCUGCGGUGAAUACGUUCCCGGGGCU
rnacentral:rRNA from 1 species